rnacentral:rRNA from 1 species
UUGAACGCGAAGAACCUUACCAGGUCUUGACAUCCUCUGACAACUCUAGAGAUAGAGCGUUCCCCUUCGGGGGACAGAGUGACAGGUGGUGCAUGGUUGUCGUCAGCUCGUGUCGUGAGAUGUUGGGUUAAGUCCCGCAACGAGCGCAACCCUUGAUCUUAGUUGCCAGCAUUUAGUUGGGCACUCUAAGGUGACUGCCGGUGACAAACCGGAGGAAGGUGGGGAUGACGUCAAAUCAUCAUGCCCCUUAUGACCUGGGCUACACACGUGCUACAAUGGAUGGUACAAAGGGCUGCAAGACCGCGAGGUCAAGCCAAUCCCAUAAAACCAUUCUCAGUUCGGAUUGUAGGCUGCAACUCGCCUACAUGAAGCUGGAAUCGCUAGUAAUCGCGGAUCAGCAUGCCGCGGUGAAUACGUUCCCGGGUCUUGUACACACGCCAA